AACAAUUCCAGUUUCACCAUCUCGGUACAUGUUUGAGUCCAUAUGAACUCUGAAUUGAAAUUCAUUAUAAUUGUUUUAUUUUUACAGAUUCCUAUUUUUCCAUUAAAGCCCCGACCUUUCUUGACUCCGUAUUGCUGAGGGACCUAUUCCAAGUAAAGUCACAAAUGUUCACAUCUAGACAGAAUUAAUAUUUAUUUACUGGCCUUUGGCAACUAUUAAAAAAUCAAC